rnacentral:rRNA from 1 species
AUGAUUCGAACUCUGGUCGAUAUUGGAGAUGAACUUGUAAUGGUUAUGUCUAUUGUCCUGCUUGAUUGGCCCACGUAUGUCGAUGUCGUGUGUGUGCCGGCACACCCAUGGAUCAGCGCGGCUGGCUGCUUAGGCUCCAUCGGCGAGCUUAUGUUUUCAGAGUUCAGCAUUGCAGCAACAUCUGUCAUGGCAGGCCGAUCUGCUGGAUCUUCCUGA